UUUCGAUAGCGUAAAAGUUAACACAAAUUUGUAUGGAGCUGGAACGUUUGCUUACGUUUGCGGCUAGGGGCGCUGUUACAACUGCAUACAAUUUUGAGUUAAGUUUUACGGUAACGA
rnacentral:pre_miRNA from 9 species